rnacentral:rRNA from 2 species
UUUAUCAAAAACAUGGCCUUUUGUUAUUAUUUAAGGUCUGACCUGCUCUAUGAGGAAUUAAAUGGCCGCGGUAUUUUGACCGUGCAAAGGUAGCAUAAUCAUUAGUUUUUUAAUUGAAAGCUGGAAUGAAAGGUUGAAUGAGAAAAUAGCUGUCUCUUAGAAAUUUUAUUAGAACUUUAUUUUUAAGUUAAAAAGCUUAAAUUUUAUUUAAAGACGAGAAGACCCUUUAGAGUUUUAUAGUAAUUGAUUAUUUAUAAUUUUAGAAUUUAUAGUUUAAAUGAAUUAUUACUAUUUGGUUGGGGUGAUUGAAAAAUUUAAUGAACUUUUUUUUAUUUAACCAUUUAUUUAUGAGCAAUUGAUCCAGUAGUAUUGAUUAUAAGAAUGAAUUACCUAAGGGAUAACAGCGUUAUUUUUCUUGAGAGUUCAAAUCGAAAGAAAAGAUUGCGACCUCGAUGUUGGAUUAAAAUUAAAUUAUGGUGCAGUAAUUAUAACUUUGAGUCUGUUCGACUCUUAAAAUUUUACAUG